UACGGGGGGGGCAAGCGUUGUUCGGAAUUACUGGGCGUAAAGGGCCAGUAGGCGGCCAACUAAGUCCGACGUGAAAUCCCCAGGCUUAACCUGGGAACUGCGUCGGAUACUGGAUGGCUUGAAUUCGGGAGAGGGAUGCAGAAUUCCAGGUGUAGCGGUGAAAUGCGUAGAUAUCAGGAAGAACAUCGGUGGCGAAGGCGCUCUGCUGGACCAUAACUGACACUCAGGGACGAAAGCUAGGGGAGCGAAUGGG
rnacentral:rRNA from 1 species